rnacentral:lncRNA from 1 species
GAACCGGGCCUCUCCCCGAAUUAUGGAAAGUGCUUUUCCAAGCUUAGGCGCAAAAACCAAUCAGAAGUAAUAACCCGGAGAACUCGCAAUAAAACGAAUUUUAAUCAUUAGCGCCAUCUGUGCUUUGCUUUUACGAUCAACUACCCAUAUAAAAGCUAUAAGCUAGUCAAAUCGUAUGCGGUGUUAGAUUUAUUUCGGUUUUUGUCUAAUUUGUGUUCUUCGUUUUUCGAAACAUCUAAAAUUUCUGUUGAAACUGUUCUAUAAUCUCAUAUUUCUUGUCUUAUAUUAAAAAUACUUUUUCAACAACUCUAGCAAAAGUCGUUUAGAAAUUCCGGAACUGCUAAAAUUACAGCACCAUGAGCAAUGUUUGAUUCUGUUGAAUUAGAGCAGAAUAUUCUUUUUAAAAUAAUUAUUAGAAAAAUUAUUUUAUCAUUAUGUUAUUGUGACUUGUUAAGUAUAUUUGUUAUUGCGAAAUUUCUAACAGUACUGCCCCUAACUGGUUAUAAUUUUCAAGAUAAUUUGAGCUUAGUGAUCCAAAGGGCUGUUAGAUGAGAGACCAAUAUUUGGAUAUGAGCUGUUGAAUUUAUAAAUGACUCUACAAGUCUCUAAAAUUUCCACUUAAUAUCUUAUGUCUACAUCUUGAUAUCUUACAUCUUAUUUACUUCAAGGAAAACUUCUUUAAAAUAACAACAAUCAGUAAUUAAAAUUUUAUAUUUGGAGAAAUAUUAAAGAUGACUGGACUUCUACUAUUGUCAUUCUUUUUACUUUAAAGGUCUGAGAUGAAAAUUAAUCUGCAGAUGCACUGAUAUUCUGCAAAGCCAACUGUCACACUGGAGGGUUUCUUCUAUUAGAUUUCAAUCCAAGUAAUUGAUAUUAUGGUAAUUUUUACCUGAUAUUCUGAUGUAGGUAUUAUGGUAAAAAAAUUUUACUGACUCAAAAUGAAAUACUAUGCAAUUUUUUUUUGCAUCUCGCUUAUCUACUCACUUGUUUAUUUGUCCAAUAAGGAAAAUUGUUCUAAUA